rnacentral:lncRNA from 1 species
AUGCCUAUUGUGUUCUCCCAUCUCCAGCCUUUCCAGCAGUCCCUGCUCCCCAUGUCCCAUUUGCAGCAAUCCCUGCUCCCCAUGUCCUGUUUGCAGCAAUCCCUGCUCCCCAUGUCCCACUUGCAGCAAUCCCUGCUCCCCCAUGUCCCAUUUGCAGCAUUCCCUGCUCCCCAUGUCCCAUUUGCAGCAAUCCCUGCCCCUGCCAGCUGCAGGAGCCCAGGUGUGCAGGGCUCCCUGGGUGCUGCAGGAGCAUGGAGCAGUGAUGGAUGUUCUGUGUCUGUCCCCCAGUGUUCAGCAGGUCCCUCCCUGUGCUUGGGAAAGCUCCUACAGAUGCUCCUGUCUCUGUUCUGUGUUUCCCCACCCUCUGGGCUGAAGAUUUGGGGUUCUCCCCUCAGCACACAGGUUUUGCUCUGUGCACAAGAGCAGCACAGCAGCCCUGCAGUGGGGUCUGUGGUGCUGGUGUUGAACCUCCACCUUCCCAAGGGAAUGGUUCUGAGGGCAUAAAUGCUUCCCCAGGGAGGGAGGGGAUGAGGAAGAGACCUGGGGAAAUGUUCUCAAGUUGCCCAUCUGGGGUUUAUCUCUGUGUUCAGUGACUGAAUUUCCUAUUUAGUGAUUUAUUUGGGGUCCCAGGGGCAGGAGCAGCGUUCCUGCUCUGUGUCCCUGAGCUUUGUCCCUCUGUGCUGAGCCCAGGACACCCCUAGGGCCAGCAGCAGCCUCUCCUGUUCUGUUUUAAACACUCCCUGUGGUUUUGCCUUUCUCCUGGAGUUUGUUUUUCCACGUUUGAGCUGUUCCAUGAGGCUGCAGCAGGGUGCUGUGCUCUGCCUUGCUGCCAGCCCUCAGCUGGGGUUUGCUUCUCCAGAGCUUUGGCCAAUUUCCUUUCCCCUUGCCUGGUCCUCCUGGCCACGUGUGGGCCAGGAGAGCCACCAAGGCUUGUCCUCAAACUGGAACAGACCUGAGGGAUGUGGAUUCUCCAGUGUGAUGUAGACUCAGCCUUUUCUUGGAGGGAGCCCCAGUUUGGGGUAAAAAACCUGGAAAAGCAUCCCCAGGUGGGAGAAGUGUUGGGUUUGGAGUUGUUGGUUUCCCUCUCUUCACGUCUGCAGGAAGUGGGUUCUGUGUGUCUCAUGUUUUAAGAGUUGCAACUAAUGUUUAUAAAGAGCUUGUUAUUUACGUUUUAAGCACUUUAAAAAAAAAAAUAAAAGUUGUUCAAGCUGUUCCUAGACA